GGCGGUGUAGCUCAGUGGUUAGAGCACACGGUUCAUAACCGUGGAGUCAUUGGUUC
rnacentral:tRNA from 1 species